rnacentral:rRNA from 1 species
UACGUAGGGUGCGAGCGUUGUCCGGAGUUACUGGGCGUAAAGGGUGUGUAGGCGGUUGGAUAAGUUUGGUGUGAAAUCUCCCGGCUUAACUGGGAGGGUGCGCCGAAAACUGCGAGGCUGGAGUGUGGGAAAGGUAGGCGGAAUUCCUGGUGUAGCGGUGAAAUGCGUAGAUAUCAGGAGGAACACCGGCGGUGUAGACGGCUUACUAGACCAUGACUGACGCUGAGGCACGAAAGCGUGGGUAGCAAACAGG